AAGUCGUAACAAGGUUUCCGUAGGUGAACCUGCGGAAGGAUCAUUCAUGUGAAUUCUAAAACACACAACCCUUUUGUGAACUUAGUAUUUUUCAAUGACUUGCUUGCUUUUUUUCAUAUCUGGUUUAUGUUUUUUUUGUUGGCUGCUUCUUUUUCUAUUUUCUGAGGGGUUUUUGUUAGUUUGCUUUUGUCUGAAAUGCAACCGAUAAAAACUCUCUAGUGAAAAAUGAAAAAAAAUGCUACCUAAUGAUUUACCAAUAUAACAUGUCUUCAAAAGAUAACUUCCAAACAAAUAUUUUGUAAAAAUAUAUUACAACUUUUAACGAUGGAUCCCUCGGCUCUCACUUCGAUGAAAAACGCAGC
rnacentral:misc_RNA from 1 species